rnacentral:lncRNA from 1 species
AGUUACGAGGCAGAGUCUCUCUGUCUCUUCCCUGCCUGUUCCUUCCAUCCCACAGUAGGGAAUGAUUCCAACCCAGAUCUUUCUGGCUAGGAUGUCACCCUCCAGACACACCGGGCCUGCAUUGAAGGUGACAUCGAGAAGAAGAGCAAGCCUGCCGUGUGCCCUGGGUCAUCACAGUUCCUCAGAGCUGAGGACAAUGUGAGAAGUGGGACCUUCUAAGAGGCUAUCCACGGGGUACAGGAAGCCAGCAGCAGGCUCCUGGAGGAGGUGGUACAGUGUGGAAGGCCACAGAGGUAUCUCAUGGAACCUGGAGCUAGCUCACCAAGUCAGCUAGAUUAGCUGGCUGGCAGGCCAUAGUGACACCCCAGUCUCCGCAGACCCCAAGACCGGAUUACCCGGGAUUGCUGGGGGUUGACUCCAAAGGGCCAGGGCCCCCUGCUACCUGUCCCCACCAGAAACCUCCCAUCCUGUUGUCCCUCCAGCAGGGGAGCAGGAGCGAGUGCUGUUGCUAGGCAAGAGGAUGCAGCACAUAUAGAUCUUCCUGGACUUUAAUUAAAAACAUCUUUAGAAGUCGUCU